rnacentral:lncRNA from 1 species
GGAUAUAGCUGUGUCCUUAAACUGGGUCCUGCUGAAUGUGUGGUAGAAUGGAUGAGAUGCCUCUUCUCUGUUGCUAUCCUGGGAGAAGUCAGUAACCCAGCAAAGCUGGGUUCUUGGAUUUUUUUUUUGUUUGUUUUUUGGAUGAUAAGCUGAAUCAACUCAAUUGGUUAUUAUCUGAUGUACUUUCCAUAUUAAAAUUACAUUAUUCUAGUCUGUAAAUUUACCCACUCAAGUUUGCAUCAAUCUGGCAAGCCUACACCCAAUAAAUCCUGAUAUUUGUAAUGUUUCCUUCAAAUUUCCCCUAUGGCAUGUGAGCAGGGUCUGAAAAUGGAAUACAAGCUCCAUGAAACUAUAGCAACACUUUGUCCUUGUGUUCUCCUCUCUCCCUUUCUCUUAGGCACAUUCUUGGAUGAAUUGUCCUGUCAGAAGCUGAGGUGAGGAGAAGCUGGAAGUAGAACUGGGAAGAGCUUGAAUAAAUUGCUACCUUCCAGAUGACUUCUAUCUACCACAGUCUUCCUCCCCUCUGUAAGAGAAUGCAAGUAGAUGCUGAUGUUUGAAGCAAGAACGUUCAAGAAUUGCUGCCUGACUUUUAACCCAAGGAUUGGAAUGGUUAGGAAAUUGAGACCUGGGAAGAUGAAAGUGAUUUUCCCAAGCACAUACCUCAUUAUCCUUCUCCUCAUCACAGCAGCAAACAGUGCUUGCCUCGUGCCAACUACUGAUCUAGGUACUUUGCAUGCAUUACUGGUAAUCACAUAAUCUUCGUAACAACCUUAUGAAGUGGUUUCUAUUAUCCUUGUCUUACAAAUGAAGACACUGAAGCUCAGAGAGGACACACAGCUGUUAGGUGACUGGGAUUUGAACCCUAGCAGUCUGACUCCAGAGUAGUCACUUUGGCAGCUAUACUGUACACAUACACAUGAAAAAAAUAAAAACUAGGCUCAGAUGACA